rnacentral:rRNA from 1 species
AACGAACGCUGGCAGCAUGCCUAACACAUGCAAGUCGAACGAGACCUUCGGGUCUAGUGGCGCACGGGUGCGUAACGCGUGGGAACCUGCCCUUAGGUUCGGAAUAACUCCCCGAAAGGGGUGCUAAUACCGGAUAAUGUCUUCGGACCAAAGAUUUAUCGCCUUUGGAUGGGCCCGCGUUGGAUUAGCUAGUUGGUAGGGUAAAAGCCUACCAAGGCGACGAUCCAUAGCUGGUCUGAGAGGAUGAUCAGCCACACUGGGACUGAGACACGGCCCAGACUCCUACGGGAGGCAGCAGUGGGGAAUAUUGGACAAUGGGCGAAAGCCUGAUCCAGCAAUGCCGCGUGAGUAAUGAAGGCCUUAGGGUUGUAAAGCUCUUUUACCCGGGAUGAUAAUGACAGUACCGGGAGAAUAAGCUCCGGCUAACUCCGUG